rnacentral:rRNA from 1 species
AGACGUCUACAUUAGAUACCCCCUGUAGUCCCAGCCCUAAACGAUGCGCGUUAGGUGUAUCGGUGACCACGAGUCACCGAGGUGCCGAAGGGAAACCGUGGAACGUGCCGCCUGGGAAGUACGGUCGCAAGGCUGAAACUUAAAGGAAUUGGCGGGGAGCACCACAACGGGUGGAGCCUGCGGUUUAAUUGGACUCAACGCCGGGAAGCUCACCGGAUAAGACAGCGGAAUGAUUGCCGGGCUGAAGACCCUGCAUGACCAGCUG